rnacentral:rRNA from 1 species
AGUGAACGCUGGCGGUAUGCCUAACACAUGCAAGUCGAACGGCAGCACAGUAAGAGCUUGCUCUUACGGGUGGCGAGUGGCGGACGGGUGAGGAAUACAUCGGAAUCUACUUUUUCGUGGGGGAUAACGUAAGGAAACUUACGCUAAUACCGCAUACGACCUACGGGUGGAAGCAUUGGAUCUUCGGACCUUUCGCGAUUGAAUGAGCCGAUGUCGGAUUAGCUAGUUGGCUGGGUAAAGGCCCACCAAGGCGACGAUCCGUAGCUGGUCUGAGAGGAUGAUCAGCCACACUGGAACUGAGACACGGUCCAGACUCCUACGGGAGGCAGCAGUGGGGAAUCUUGGACAAUGGGCGCAAGCCUGACCCAGCCAUACCGCGUGGGUGAAGAAGGUCUUCGGGUUGUAAAGCCCCUUUGUUGGGAAAGAACAGCAGCAGGUUAAAACCUCGCUGUUCUGACGGUACCCAAAGAAUAAGCAACGGCUAACUUCGUG